GGCUGCAGUCGAGGAUCUUCGGCAAUGGGCGCAAGCCUGACCGAGCGACGCCGCGUGGAGGAUGAAGGCCUUCGGGUUGUAAGCUCCUGUCGAGGGGGGGGAAGGGGAAACCUUGACCGAUCCCUGGAGGAAGCACGGGCUAAGUUCGUGCCAGCAGCCGCGGUAAGACGAACCGUGCGAACGUUAUUCGGAAUCACUGGGCUUAAAGCGCGUGUAGGCGGAUGGGAACGUCGGAUACUGAAAGCCCCCGGCUCAACCGGGGAAGUGGUUCCGAAACGACCUGUCUGGAGGGACGUAGGGGGAUCUGGAACUUCCGGUGGAGCGGUGAAAUGCGUUGAGAUCGGAAGGAACGCCCGUGGCGAAAGCGAGGUCCUGGACGUCUGCUGACGCUGAGACGCGAAAGCUAGGGGAGCAAACGGGAUUAGAUACCCCGGUAGUCCUAGCCGUAAACGAUGGGCACUGGGUAGGGGGCUCGCCGAUGGGCUCUCUGCCGUAGCGAAAGCGUGAAGUGCCCCGCCUGGGGAGUAUGGUCGCAAGGCUGAAACUCAAAGGAAUUGACGGGGGCUCACACA
rnacentral:rRNA from 1 species